rnacentral:rRNA from 1 species
AGUGAACGCUGGCGGUAGGCCUAACACAUGCAAGUCGAACGGCAGCACAGUAAGAGCUUGCUCUUACGGGUGGCGAGUGGCGGACGGGUGAGGAAUACAUCGGAAUCUACUUUUUCGUGGGGGAUAACGUAGGGAAACUUACGCUAAUACCGCAUACGACCUACGGGUGGAAGCAGGGGAUCUUCGGACCUUGCGCGAUUGAAUGAGCCGAUGUCGGAUUAGCUAGUUGGCGGGGUAAAGGCCCACCAAGGCGACGAUCCGUAGCUGGUCUGAGAGGAUGAUCAGCCACACUGGAACUGAGACACGGUCCAGACUCCUACGGGAGGCAGCAGUGGGGAAUAUUAGACAAUGGGCGCAAGCCUGAUCCAGCCAUACCGCGUGGGUGAAGAAGGCCUACGGGUUGUAAAGCCCUUUUGUUGGGAAAGAAAAGCAGCAGAUUAAUACCCCGCUGUUCUGACGGUACCCAAAGAAUAAGCACCGGCUAACUUCGUG